UACGUAGGCAGCAAGCGUUGUUCGGAGUUACUGGGCGUAAAGAGUGCGUAGGCGGUUCCGUAAGUUUGGUGUGAAAUCUCCCGGCUCAACUGGGAGGGUGCGCCGAAAACUGCGGGGCUGGAGUGUGGGAGAGGUAAGCGGAAUUCCUGGUGUAGCGGUGAAAUGCGUAGAUAUCAGGAGGAACACCGGCGGUGUAGACGGCUUACUGGACCAUGACUGACGCUGAGGCACGAAAGCGUGGGGAG
rnacentral:rRNA from 1 species